rnacentral:rRNA from 1 species
CUACGGGUGGCAGCAGUGGGGAAUAUUGGACAAUGGGCGAAAGCCUGAUCCAGCCAUGCCGCGUGUGUGAAGAAGGCCUUCGGGUUGUAAAGCACUUUCAGUGGGGAAGAAAGCCUUGGGGCUAAUACCCUCGAGGAAGGACAUCACCCACAGAAGAAGCACCGGCUAACUCCGUGCCAGCAGCCGCGGUAAUACGGAGGGUGCGAGCGUUAAUCGGAAUUACUGGGCGUAAAGCGCGCGUAGGCGGUCUGAUAAGCCGGUUGUGAAAGCCCCGGGCUCAACCUGGGAACGGCAUCCGGAACUGUCAGGCUAGAGUGCAGGAGAGGAAGGUAGAAUUCCCGGUGUAGCGGUGAAAUGCGUAGAGAUAGGGAGGAAUACCAGUGGCGAAGGCGGCCUUCUGGACUGACACUGACGCUGAGGUGCGAAAGCGUGGGUAGCAAACAGGAUUAGAUACCCGUGUAGUC